AGAGAACUCCUAAGAAGUUGCAAUGCCAAGACUUACCUGUAUGAGAACUGUGUUUGCUCGUUUUUGCUAUAACAGAAUGUACCACCCUGGGAUUCAUCACUGGUAGCUGCCACUAGGGAAGGGGUGAAAUCAGAAGUUACUCCUGGUUUACAGCUGAAACUGCUUCAUCCCCUGAGAUAAUGUUAGGAAGGUACAGCACUUCAGGAGGGCAACAUCCUGCACACAAUAGAAAUAAGCAAG